ACACCAGAUGUUUCAUUUUGUGUCACUGCUGCAGCUGAAACAACCCAAAUCUACAGAACCACAGACGAGCCCAACAUGUCUUCAUGCUGCUGCUUUAUGCUCAGUUUUUUAUGAGGGUCCAAAGAACCCUCGGUCCGGGUCAGGAAAAGAUCAUGUUCCGGCAUAAAACCGACCUGGUUCUGUGUCCAGAAUGACGCUGCAGACUCACACACACACACACACACACACGAGGCUGGAAGUUGACCCGAAGUUUGCAGCAGCUUAGAUUCACAGUAACACAUGAAACUGAGACGCAGUCCUGAACAGCAGUCACUGGCUUCACCCUGCACCCUCAGAACCAGGCUGCUCGGGUCCCUCUCGAUCAUCGGGCUCUCCUCGUUGUUCAGGAUGUGCUCGACCAGGCAGCGCACCGCCUCCUCGAUGUUUGUGUUUUCCUGAGGGAGGAAUAAAAGAAGACGCCUGUAAAGAAACCAGGUGAGACAACAGGAGAGAAACAAACGCCUCGAUAAGUUUGACUUCCUCUGUCGGACGUCGACCUCUGACCUUUGAGUCCAGGUCGUCCUUCCACUUCAGCACGGCGUCGAACGUCGAGGCCCGCGUCAC